rnacentral:ribozyme from 1 species
GCUCCUCAGCUGCUGCCUCUUCACCGCCGCGGU